UCGGGUGUGGUGUACAGAGCACCGCGCGUCUUCUUAGGUCGGAGUUCUUUGAAUGUAGCGCGCAGUCCGGGGUUCGACUCCCCGCACCCGAA